rnacentral:rRNA from 1 species
GACGAACGCUGGCGGCGUGCCUAAUACAUGCAAGUCGAGCGAGCGGAACUAACAGAUUUACUUCGAUAAUGACGUUAGGAAAGCGAGCGGCGGAUGGGUGAGUAACACGUGGGGAACCUGCCCCAUAGUCUGGGAUACCACUUGGAAACAGGUGCUAAUACCGGAUAAGAAAGCAGAUCGCAUGAUCAGCUUUUAAAAGGCGGCGUAAGCUGUCGCUAUGGGAUGGCCCCGCGGUGCAUUAGCUAGUUGGUAAGGUAAAGGCUUACCAAGGCGAUGAUGCAUAGCCGAGUUGAGAGACUGAUCGGCCACAUUGGGACUGAGACACGGCCCAAACUCCUACGGGAGGCAGCAGUAGGGAAUCUUCCACAAUGGACGCAAGUCUGAUGGAGCAACGCCGCGUGAGUGAAGAAGGUUUUCGGAUCGUAAAGCUCUGUUGUUGGUGAAGAAGGAUAGAGGUAGUAACUGGCCUUUAUUUGACGGUAAUCAACCAGAAAGUCACGGCUAACUACGUGCCAGCAGCCGCGGUAAUACGUAGGUGGCAAGCGUUGUCCGGAUUUAUUGGGCGUAAAGCGAGCGCAGGCGGAAGAAUAAGUCUGAUGUGAAAGCCCUCGGCUUAACCGAGGAACUGCAUCGGAAACUGUUUUUCUUGAGUGCAGAAGAGGAGAGUGGAACUCCAUGUGUAGCGGUGGAAUGCGUAGAUAUAUGGAAGAACACCAGUGGCGAAGGCGGCUCUCUGGUCUGCAACUGACGCUGAGGCUCGAAAGCAUGGGUAGUGAACAGGAUUAGAUACCCUGGUAGUCCAUGCCGUAAACGAUGAGUGCUAAGUGUUGGGAGGUUUCCGCCUCUCAGUGCUGCAGCUAACGCAUUAAGCACUCCGCCUGGGGAGUACGACCGCAAGGUUGAAACUCAAAGGAAUUGACGGGGGCCCGCACAAGCGGUGGAGCAUGUGGUUUAAUUCGAAGCAACGCGAAGAACCUUACCAGGUCUUGACAUCUAGUGCCAUUUGUAGAGAUACAAAGUUCCCUUCGGGGACGCUAAGACAGGUGGUGCAUGGCUGUCGUCAGCUCGUGUCGUGAGAUGUUGGGUUAAGUCCCGCAACGAGCGCAACCCUUGUUAUUAGUUGCCAGCAUUAAGUUGGGCACUCUAAUGAGACUGCCGGUGACAAACCGGAGGAAGGUGGGGAUGACGUCAAGUCCUCAUGCCCCUUAUGACCUGGGCUACACACGUGCUACAAUGGGCAGUACAACGAGAAGCGAGCCUGCGAAGGCAAGCGAAUCUCUGAAAGCUGUUCUCAGUUCGGACUGCAGUCUGCAACUCGACUGCACGAAGCUGGAAUCGCUAGUAAUCGCGGAUCAGCACGCCGCGGUGAAUACGUUCCCGGGCCUUGUACACACCGCCCGUCACACCAUGGGAGUCUGCAAUGCCCAAAGCCGGUGGCCUAACCUUCGGGAAGGAGCCGUCUAAGGCAGGGCAGAUGACUGGGGUG